rnacentral:rRNA from 1 species
GCGAGAAUGUAGCAAUACAGGAAAGCGGCGAAAGGGAGAGGACAACAUGGGAAUCUGCCCGGGGGUCGAGGAUAGCGUCGGGAAACUGACGGUAAUACUCGAUAAUGUUUACGGACCAAAGGUUUACUGCCCCUGGAUGAGCCCAUGCCCCAUUAGCUAGUUGGCGGUGUAAUAGACCACCAAGGCGAUGAUGGGUAGCUGGUGUGAGAGCACGACCAGCCUCACUGGCACUGAGACACUGGCCAGACACCUACGGGUGGCUGCAGUCGAGAAUCUUCGGCAAUGGACGAAAGUCUGACCGAGCGACGCCGCGUGCGGGACGAAGGCCUUCGGGUUGUAAACCGCUGUCGAGGGGGAUUAAGGGCAACUUGAAAGAACCCUGGAGGAAGGAGAGGCUAAGCUCGUGCCAGCAGCCGCAGUAAGACGAGCCCUCCAAACGUUAUUCGGUAUCACUGGGCUUAAAGAGUUCGUAGGCGGCUUUGCAGGUGGGGUGUGAAAGCCCUCGGCUCAACCGAGGAAUUGCGCCCCAAACCGCAAGGCUUGAGGGAUAUAGGGGUAAGCGGAACAGAUGGUGGAGCGGUGAAAUGCAUUGAUAUCAUCUGGAACACCGGUGGCGAAGGCGGCUUACUGGAUAUUUUCUGACGCUGAGGAACGAAAGCUAGGGUAGCGAACGGGAUUAGAUACCCCGGUAGUCCUAGCCGUAAACGAUUAGCACUAGUUUGAAGGACUCUCACAGUCUUCGAACGUAGCGAAAGU